rnacentral:rRNA from 1 species
CUCACUGCCGGCCCCGGAGCCAUCCCGCCGGCCGUCCCUUGNUGCUCUUCGCUGAGUGUCUUGGGUGACCGGAACGNUUACUUUGAACAAAUUAGAGUGCUCCAAGCAGGCGCAUCCCGCCCGCAUAGCCCAGCAUGGAAUAAUGGAAUAGGACCUCGGUUCUAUUUUGUUGGUUUUCGGAACCCGAGGUAACGAUUAAUAGGGACAGACGGGGGCAUUCGUAUUGNGACGCUAGAGGUGAAAUUCUUGGACCGUCGCAAGACGAACNAAAGCGAAAGCAUUUGCCAAGNAUGUUUUCAUUAAUCAAGAACGAAAGUUAGAGGUUCGAAGGCGAUCAGAUACCGCCCUAGUUCUAACCAUAAACGAUGCCGACCAGCGAUCCGCCGAAGUUCCUNNNNNGACUCGGCGGGCANNNUCCGGGAAACCAAAGUGUUUGGGUUCCGGGGGAAGUAUGGUUGCAAAGCUGAAACUUAAAGGAAUUGACGGAAGGGCACCACCAGGAGUGGAGCCUGCGGCUUAAUUUGACUCAACACGGGAAACCUCACCCGGCCCGGACACCGGAAGGAUUGACAGAUUGAAAGCUCUUUCUUGAUUCGGUGGGUGGUGGUGCAUGGCCGUUCUUAGUUGGUGGAGCGAUUUGUCUGGUUAAUUCCGGUAACGAACGAGACUCUAGCCUGCUAAUUAGACGACCGAUCCAGGGUAGCAUGAAUGCCUCCGUCGGUCGAUCGCUUCUUAGAGGGACAAGNGGCACUCAGCCGCACGAGAUUGAGCAAUAGCAGGUCUGUGAUGCCCUUAGAUGUCCGGGGCCGCACGCGCGCUACAAUGAAGGAAUCAGCGCGUCUUUCCCCAGUCCGGCAGGACCGGGUAACCCGCUGAAACUCUUUCGUAAUAGGGAUCGGGGUUUGGAAUUGUCCCCCGUGAACGAGGAAUUCCCAGUAAGCGCGAGUCAUAAACUUGCGUUGAUUACGUCCCUGCCCUUUGUACACACCGCCCGUCGCUACUACCGAUUGAAUGAUUUAGUGAGGUCUUUGGACUGGCGGCCGUGGCGGCCCUCGGGUUGCUGCGGCAUGCCGGGAANAUGAUCUAGCUUGACCAUUUAGAGGAAGUAAAAGUCGUAACAAGGUUUCCG